GAGUUUGAUCCUGGCUCAGGACGAACGCUGGCGGCGUGCCUAACACAUGCAAGUCGAACGGAAACAGAUUGAAGCUUGCUUUGAGCUGUUUUAGUGGCGGACGGGUGAGUAACGCGUGAGGAACCUGCCUUUCAGAGGGGGAUAACGUCUGGAAACGGACGCUAAUACCGCAUGACAUUUUGUUGCCGCAUGGUGAUAAAAUCAAAGGAGCAAUCCGCUGAGAGAUGGACUCGCGUCCGAUUAGCCAGUUGGCGGGGUAAUGGCCCACCAAAGCGACGAUCGGUAGCCGGGCUGAGAGGCUGAACGGCCACAUUGGGACUGAGACACGGCCCAGACUCCUACGGGAGGCAGCAGUGGGGGAUAUUGCACAAUGGAGGAAACUCUGAUGCAGCAACGCCGCGUGAGGGAAGAAGGUUUUCGGAUUGUAAACCUCUGUCCUCAGGGACGAUAAUGACGGUACCUGAGGAGGAAGCUCCGGCUAACUACGUGCCAGCAGCCGCGGUAAUACGUAGGGAGCAAGCGUUGUCCGGAUUUACUGGGUGUAAAGGGUGCGUAGGCGGCACUGCAAGUCAGGUGUGAAAACCAUGGGCUUAACUUAUGGAUUGCACUUGAAACUGUGGUGCUUGAGUGAAGUAGAGGCAGGCGGAAUUCCCGGUGUAGCGGUGAAAUGCGUAGAGAUCGGGAGGAACACCAGUGGCGAAGGCGGCCUGCUGGGCUUU
rnacentral:rRNA from 1 species